AUCCAGCCGAUGAGUCCCAAUGAGGACGAAACGCGCGUCCUACAU
rnacentral:hammerhead_ribozyme from 1 species